UCACAUGUUUCCUCACAUGCCAGCCAGCGAAGAAGUCAAGGCAGCAUGCUGUGGGUGGUCUGUUUGGAUAAUGGUUUUCAUGUGGAAACCUCAAAUUGGAAAUCAACUGGCAGGCAUUCUGGAGAAAGUGUGGUUUCCUGGUCCUUAGAGCUGACUUGAACCGAGAGUCUCAAUUAGAAUGGCGACCGUCAAGAACAUAAAAGAGAACAGAUGCUGGCUUCGAUUUGGGGAAAGCAGAACUCUUACACACUGCUGGUGGGAGUGUAAACUAGUACAGCUACUUAGAAAUCAUCUGGAAGUUUCUCAAAAAACUGGAAUUAGAAUUGCCAUAUGAACCAGUUCAACAUGGAGAUUUUCAGAGAAGAGAUUUGGUAAUGGCCCCACUGUCACCAAAAUGAGGGCUUCAUACUUUCUAUUCAUUACCUAGUUUUGCAUGUCUUUUAUCCUAACAAAGUCCUUUAUAUCGGAUUAAAGUGAUUUGGCAAAAUCUUGUCCGUUAUUUUCA